GACAGGGUAGUGUUGUGGUUUUAGUGUUGGGCUAUAACUCAGGAGACUAGGGUUCGAUUCCCAGCUCAGCCA